UCGUAAUCUCAGCACUUUGGGAGGAUGAGGCUGGCAGAUCACGAGGUCAGGGGAUCGAGACCAUCCUGGCUAACACAGUGAAACCCCGUCUCUACUAAAAAUAUAAAAAAUUUGCCAGGCGUGGUGGUGGGUGCCUGUACUCCCAGCUACUCGGGAGGCUGAGGCAGGAGAAUGGCUUGAACCCGGGAGGCGGAGCUUGCAGUGAGCCGAGAUCGCGCCACUGCACUAUAGCCUGGGCAACAGGGGAAGACUCCAUCUCAAAAAAAAAAAAAAGAAAAAGAAAAAAAAAGUUCUACUAUAAAUAAAAAUUAGACUUCCUAUCCCACUGACGGUCACUUCAUUGAAAACAGGAAUUUCACAGGAAACUUGAAAACAGCACCAAAAACUAUAAUGUUUUCCUACAGCAUUUUAGGAGCUUUAUCCAACAUCAAACAAAUAAACAUAAGUUAAAUAGUAUUAAAUAGGAUAACUGUUGUUUCACAGUUUACACA
rnacentral:lncRNA from 1 species